rnacentral:rRNA from 1 species
CGGAGGUGCGAGCGUUGUCCGGAAUCACGUGGGCGUAAAGGGCGCGUAGGUGGUUGGAUGCGCCGGUGGUGAAAGCGCAGGGCUCAACCCUGCGUCGGCCAUCGGGACGGUCCGACUGGAGCACUGUAGAGGCAGGUGGAAUUCCGGGUGUAGCGGUGGAAUGCGUAGAGAUCCGGAGAACACCGGUGGCGAAGGCGGCCUGCUGGGCAGUUGCUGACACUGAGGCGCGACAGCGUGGGGAGCAAACAGGAUU